rnacentral:rRNA from 1 species
AUGUCGUCGCUCGCCGUCGGCCGCGGGCCGGAGAGUGAGCUGUACUGGCUCGGGGGCCUCUUCACGGCCGCGGAGCUCGCCGCCGCCGACCUGCUGCUAAAGCUACGCGGUGACGACGAUGAGGCGGCGGCGGCGUCCGCCGACACGUCAUCAUACUCGCGGCGGUUCCCGAGCUCCCGCCGCGAGGACCUCGCCGUGGUCGACCAGGAGACGGAGGAGGAGCGGGCCUUCGAGGACGCCGCGACGGCGUCUGCGGCCACGCCGUUCUCCUCGAGGCGGAGGGCGAGGAAGAGGUACCGCCUGUUGUCUGAGUUGUACGCCGCCACGGCCCCGGUGACAUCAUCUUCCGCCUCCGCGGAGAAGAUACGGAAGGUACACGGCGACCACGGCGCCGGCACCGUCGAGUCGUCGGUGGACCAGGCGACGAGGAAUGGCGAGGGACUAGUAGCACAGAAGGGCUUCUAUGUAAUUACAACACCGUGA